AAUAUUUACUAGAACACACCCGCGAAAUCGCGGGCAUUCAGAGCGGAGUUAAAAGUAUGUAAAGUUUUGUUAGAAGUUUUAUACCUCCUCCUUCAUUUCCAAAAUUCCCAAUUUUUGGUUUUCUAUCAAUUUCAAUAUGAACAUACAUUUAGUAUGUUAUGAACAUUUAAGUAAGGAGCCUGUAGUUCAGUGGUUGUCGUUUGUUUGUGUGUUACAUAUUUGUUUUUCGUUCCUUUUUUGUACAUAAAUAAGGCCGCUAGUUUUCUCGUUUGAAUUUUUUUACAUCGUCAUUUCGGGGCCUUUUAAAGCUGAGUAUGCGGUAUGGGCUUUGCUCGUUGUUGAAGGCCGUAUGGUGACAUAUAGUUGUUAAUUUCUGUGUCAUUUUGGUCUCUUGUGGAGAGUUGUCUCAACAUGGCAAUCAUACCACAUCUUUUUUUUUUGUAAUCAAUGAAUUUUGUAAAAUAUUUAAUGAAUGGAGAAUUUCAGAAAAGGUAUCAAAAGUUCACAUGAAUAAUUUUAGCGCUUAUCUGUAUAUUACUAUAUAAAUAAAGUGUAUUUACUUUCAAUUCUUAGUUUAGUAAUCGAUCCAUGGUGGUAAUUGACAUAGUAUACAGACCCUCUCCAUUUAAUAAACUCUGAACAGAAUUAAAAUACACUUUAUUCGUACUAUUUGUUUGUUCAAAGUAUACAGAAAAACGCAAACCGGAAGUAUAAUCUGACUUAAAAUUUCGUCCAAUGACGGGACAAUAUCCGGAUGCCUUUUUUCUCGUUUUUCUCCCAAAAUGACUCAAUCUGAAUAAUCAUAUGAAUGGAUGACAAAUGCGACUAUGCACUGUACAUAUAGGACACAGAGUCGUGUUGAUUAAUUUAUUGUGGAAAGAAGAGAAGCGACACCAAAAAUGAGGUCUUCUCGUUUAAUAGUAUAGAAGUGUUUU
rnacentral:lncRNA from 1 species